GCAGUUGAGCGCUGAGGUUGGUACCUGUACCGACUGGAUGAGCAGCGAACGGUCGAUAGAAGCGUGGGGAAUCUGCCUUUGAGCGGGGGACAACAUCUUGAAACGAAUGCUAAUACCGCAUAAAAACUUUAAACACAAGUUUUAAGUUUGAAAGAUGCAAUUGCAUCACUCAAAGAUGAUCCCGCGUUGUAUUAGCUAGUUGGUGAGGUAAAGGCUCACCAAGGCGAUGAUACAUAGCCGACCUGAGAGGGUGAUCGGCCACAUUGGGACUGAGACACGGCCCAAACUCCUACGGGAGGCAGCAGUAGGGAAUCUUCGGCAAUGGACGAAAGUCUGACCGAGCAACGCCGCGUGAGUGAAGAAGGUUUUCGGAUCGUAAAACUCUGUUGGUAGAGAAGAAUGUUGGUGAGAGUGGAAAGCUCAUCAAGUGACGGUAACUACCCAGAAAGGGACGGCUAACUACGUGCCAGCAGCCGCGGUAAUACGUAGGUCCCGAGCGUUGUCCGGAUUUAUUGGGCGUAAAGCGAGCGCAGGUGGUUUAUUAAGUCUGGUGUAAAAGGCAGUGGCUCAACCAUUGUAUGCAUUGGAAACUGGUAGACUUGAGUGCAGGAGAGGAGAGUGGAAUUCCAUGUGUAGCGGUGAAAUGCGUAGAUAUAUGGAGGAACACCGGUGGCGAAAGCGGCUCUCUGGCCUGUAACUGACACUGAGGCUCGAAAGCGUGGGGAGCAAACAGGAUUAGAUACCCUGGUAGUCCACGCCGUANACGAUGAGUGCUAGAUGUAGGGAGCUAUAAGUUCUCUGUAUCGCAGCUAACGCAAUAAGCACUCCGCCUGGGGAGUACGACC
rnacentral:rRNA from 1 species